CGCUAGGUUUCCGUCUGGCGCCGAUCCGGCUGCGUCACGCCGGCCGAACGACACCCCGCUGAGUCGCCGCCGCAGGGAAGGUACCUUCGGCCCCAACGGGAAAAGCCAAUUUCCAGUAAUUCGCGCCCGACCACCGGGGAGUGAAUGUUUCCCUCUGAGGAUGAAGAUCACUAUAAACAACUCUGAUGAGAUCAUGCUGACACAAUGCCCCUUCUGUCAAAGCCAUGGAUCCAAUUGUUGAAGGCUACAAAAAUAAGGUAUUUGUGAAAAUGAUAUGCUAAAUUUUGUUUAAGAGAAAUAUACAACUCCCCCUGGGGCUAUUUGAAACAACGAAGUGCUGGGGAGGGAAAGAAGGAAAAACAGAAAAGAAUAUAUGGAUGACUCCCACUGUGAUUAAGAAAAACUGAGAACCACAGAAAAGGAAGAACACAGACAUCGAGGGAAUCAAAAGGAGUCCAAAGCCUAGGGUUACAUUUCUGACAUAUAACUGAGCAUUUUUCUAUAGUAUACUAAUUUUGCACUGUCAAAAGAUAACUGAACCACAGCACCAAUAAGUUAUGUCAACAACUUGUCAAACAUGACACUUUGCAAAA
rnacentral:lncRNA from 1 species